UCCAGAUAAGAUUGGAGACUCCCAACUA
rnacentral:piRNA from 1 species